GAAGACAAGUUGGUGAGAAUGUAC
rnacentral:siRNA from 1 species